UACGUAGGGGCAAGCGUUGUCCGGAUUUAUUGGCGUAAAGAGCGUGUAGGCGGUUUGGUAGGUCCGCUGUGAAACUCGAGGCUCAACCUCGAGACGCCGGUGGAAACCAUCAGACUAGAGUCCGGAAGAGGAGAGUGGAAUUCCUGGUGUAGCGGUGAAUGACGCAGAUAUCAGGAAGAACACCCGUGGCUAAGGCGGCUCUCUAGUACGGUACUGACGCUGAGACGCGAAGCGUGGGGAGCGAACAGG
rnacentral:rRNA from 1 species